UGUUGGGUAGGGGAGCGUUCUGUAAGCCUGUGAAGGUGUGUCGUGAGGCAUGCUGGAGGUAUCAGAAGUGCGAAUGCUGACAUAAGUAACGAUAAAGCGGGUGAAAAGCCCGCUCGCCGGAAGACCAAGGGUUCCUGUCCAACGUUAAUCGGGGCAGGGUGAGUCGACCCCUAAGGCGAGGCCGAAAGGCGUAGUCGAUGGGAAACGGGUUAAUAUUCCCGUACUUGGUGUUACUGCGAAGGGGGGACGGAGAAGGCUAUGUUGGCCGGGCGACGGUUGUCCCGGUUUAAGCGUGUAGGUGUGUGUUCCAGGUAAAUCCGGUUCACUUUAACACUGAGGCGUGACGACGAGGCACUACGGUGCUGAAGCAACAAAUGCCCUGCUUCCAGGAAAAGCCUCUAAGCAUCAGGUAACAUCAAAUCGUACCCCAAACCGACACAGGUGGUCAGGUAGAGAAUACCAAGGCGCUUGAGAGAACUCGGGUGAAGGAACUAGGCAAAAUGGUGCCGUAACUUCGGGAGAAGGCACGCUGACACGUAGGUGAAGUGAUUUACUCAUGGAGCUGAAGUCAGUCGAAGAUACCAGCUGGCUGCAACUGUUUAUUAAAAACACAGCACUGUGCAAACACGAAAGUGGACGUAUACGGUGUGACGCCUGCCCGGUGCCGGAAGGUUAAUUGAUGGGGUCAGCGCAAGCGAAGCUCCUGAUCGAAGCCCCGGUAAACGGCGGCCGUAACUAUAACGGUCCUAAGGUAGCGAAAUUCCUUGUCGGGUAAGUUCCGACCUGCACGAAUGGCGUAAUGAUGGCCAGGCUGUCUCCACCCGAGACUCAGUGAAAUUGAACUCGCUGUGAAGAUGCAGUGUACCCGCGGCAAGACGGAAAGACCCCGUGAACCUUUACUAUAGCUUGACACUGAACAUUGAGCCUUGAUGUGUAG
rnacentral:rRNA from 1 species